rnacentral:rRNA from 1 species
UUAUUGGGCGUAAAGGGCUCGUAGGUGGUUGAUCGCGUCGGAAGUGUAAUCUUGGGGCUUAACCCUGAGCGUGCUUUCGAUACGGGUUGACUUGAGGAAGGUAGGGGAGAAUGGAAUUCCUGGUGGAGCGGUGGAAUGCGCAGAUAUCAGGAGGAACACCAGUGGCGAAGGCGGUUCUCUGGGCCUUUCCUGACGCUGAGGAGCGAAAGCGUGGGGAGCGAACAGGCUUAGAUACCCUGGUAGUCCACGCUGUAAACGGUGGGUACUAGGUGUGGGGUCCAUUCCACGGGUUCCGUGCCGUAGCUAACGCUUUAAGUACCCCGCCUGGGGAGUACGGCCGCAAGGCUAAAACUCAAAGGAAUUGACGGGGCCCCGCACAAGCGGCGGAGCAUGCGGAUUAAUUCGAUGCAACGCGUAGAACCUUACCUGGGUUUGACAUGGAUCGGGAGUGCUCAGAGAUGGGUGUGCCUCUUUUGGGGUCGGUUCACAGGUGGUGCAUGGCUGUCGUCAGCUCGUG